ACUCCGGAAUAGCCUUUCGAAAGAAAGAUUAAUACCGGAUAGCAUACGAAUAUCGCAUGAUAUUUUUAUUAAAGAAUUUCGGUUAUCGAUGGGGAUGCGUUCCAUUAGUUUGUUGGCGGGGUAACGGCCCACCAAGACUACGAUGGAUAGGGGUUCUGAGAGGAAGGUCCCCCACAUUGGAACUGAGACACGGUCCAAACUCCUACGGGAGGCAGCAGUGAGGAAUAUUGGUCAAUGGGCGCGAGCCUGAACCAGCCAAGUAGCGUGAAGGAUGAAGGCUCUAUGGGUCGUAAACUUCUUUUAUAUGGGAAUAAAGUUUUCCACGUGUGGAAUUUUGUAUGUACCAUAUGAAUAAGGAUCGGCUAACUCCGUGCCAGCAGCCGCGGUAAUACGGAGGAUCCGAGCGUUAUCCGGAUUUAUUGGGUUUAAAGGGAGCGUAGGUGGAUUGUUAAGUCAGUUGUGAAAGUUUGCGGCUCAACCGUAAAAUUGCAGUUGAAACUGGCAGUCUUGAGUACAGUAGAGGUGGGCGGAAUUCGUGGUGUAGCGGUGAAAUGCUUAGAUAUCACGAAGAACUCCGAUUGCGAAGGCAGCUCACUAGACUGUUACUGACACUGAUGCUCGAAAGUGUGGGUAUCAAACAGGAUUAGAUACCCUGGUAGUCCACACAGUAAACGA
rnacentral:rRNA from 1 species